AUUAAAAAACUGCCUAAUUCCCUAUCGGGAAACGGGGGAACCACUCUGGGUGAAUUGAUUCCGACGUCUGAGUUAUCUCAGCGCCUGAGGAAUCAUAGGGAGCCUUCAACCGAACCCCACAGCUAACCUCGUCGGCAUUGGAAGGAGCUUCA
rnacentral:sRNA from 2 species